AAUGGGUCAGCGACUUAUAUUCUGUAGCAAGGUUAACCGAAUAGGGGAGCCGAAGGGAAACCGAGUCUUAACUGGGCGUUAAGUUGCAGGGUAUAGACCCGAAACCCGGUGAUCUAGCCAUGGGCAGGUUGAAGGUUGGGUAACACUAACUGGAGGACCGAACCGACUAAUGUUGAAAAAUUAGCGGAUGACUUGUGGCUGGGGGUGAAAGGCCAAUCAAACCGGGAGAUAGCUGGUUCUCCCCGAAAGCUAUUUAGGUAGCGCCUCGUGAAUUCAUCUCCGGGGGUAGAGCACUGUUUCGGCAAGGGGGUCAUCCCGACUUACCAACCCGAUGCAAACUGCGAAUACCGGAGAAUGUUAUCACGGGAGACACACGGCGGGUGCUAACGUCCGUCGUGAAGAGGGAAACAACCCAGACCGCCAGCUAAGGUCCCAAAGUCAUGGUUAAGUGGGAAACGAUGUGGGAAGGCCCAGACAGCCAGGAUGUUGGCUUAGAAGCAGCCAUCAUUUAAAGAAAGCGUAAUAGCUCACUGGUCGAGUCGGCCUGCGCGGAAGAUGUAACGGGGCUAAACCAUGCACCGAAGCUGCGGCAGCGACGCUUAUGCGUUGUUGGGUAGGGGAGCGU
rnacentral:rRNA from 1 species